ensembl:lncRNA
GCCAGUUUAGCCAUUUUAUCAAACCCAGAUCCACCAUCUAUACACACAACUUCUUAAAUAAGAAUAUAAAUUACACAACAAAAAAUUACAUACACCAAGUCAUUUCAGCACAUGAAAUCAACAUACAAUAUACAAAUCGAAGGUUUCGCCGGCGACAAUGAAAACAGAAAAAUACAAGGUUGUCCAUGGUUAUCGGUGGGUUUAAUCCUGUUGAAAGAACUUGGGUACUCUCAGCAAAAGGUUUUGAAUGAUGAAGUAGCAGCUGGAGGACUACUACUAAUAUGUUGUGGGUUUGCUGCGGGGAAAGAAUACCUAAAAAACAAUGUGAUACACUGCAUGUUUUUGUCUGUGGUGACAUCAAUACAAGCAUUACUUUUUUUUACCAUAAUUUGACGUAUGAAGAUAUAGUUGACGCAUCUGAUUAAAUUCGUCCCUAAAUCAGAGGCAGCAGCCAUUUAGAGUAAUUGCACUUUUAAAAAUACAUUAAUACUUUGGUUAUGACAGCAGAUUGCAGACACAAAAUGAUAUGUGAACGAUAGGUGGCUAUUUAGCAUACAUUCAAUCUACAAUGGAAGGGUUGUCCCAUUAUACCCAUCGAUACACCCCACUCUUUCUUAACAAUCACGUACAUCAGUGUGGUUGGAUGUCCACAGUAGAAAGUGCAACGGCGGAAUCCACACAGUAUCCAGAGUUUAAGCUGACCUUGUGUUUAAAACCUGUAUUUACAGUGGAUGGACAGCUCAUAAAGUCAGAGAAGAUCAAGACGGAAAUUACAUAAGUCAUAUCACUGUAAGUCCAGUUAAACUUUGACUCCAUCAUCAACCACUUUAUUGCAGUGGAUGAACCAGGUCAAGUAUUGUUAAUAAAACAUAACGUGUUCAACUUUACCCUUAAUAAACACUUGAUAACAAAACAACAUUAAUAUUUGAUUUGUGAAAAGUUGCACUGUGCGAAACCAUCAUUAACAAUGUGACAACAAGGCAUGUCUGAGAAUCUGAAUGGGGUUGGUGGGUUCAACAAUUUGCUAAAAUAUUUUUUUAUUAAAUCACAACUCUCUGGUUUCACCCGACAACACUGGCUGUGAACGAAUGGCAGGGAUUGGCUUGGUUUGGGUUCUGCUUUGUGAAUGCCUUGUAAAUGUCCAACUUCUUUCCAGACAAGUCCGGUCUGAGUCCGGGUACUGCAGCAGCAGCAGCAGCAGGAGGAGGAAGAGGGUCUACUCACUGAAGCUGAAGUUCACCCCCGAGCUCUCUGUGGUCGGUGAAGAGGGCCCCGCACUGGACACUGCACUGGAGGGGAUGCUACCAU